GAAAGGGUCAUUGCACAUACAGAUCAUCAAUCCAAACCAACAAUAUAUCGUCCUAAAAUGAAGGCUAUCGUUAUCAUUUGCAUUCUGCUGGCAGGUUCCCUUCUUUUCUCGUCCCCUUCAAUUAUUGUGGCUCGCGAGCUGGCUCAUCCGCGGGAUGGAACUACUGCCAGAUCCGGCAAGCCAGCAAUACCAUGUGAGCCUGGCGAUCGUCCAUACAGUUCUUGCAUACGAAACCCAAAGCCACCCAUCAAGUGUAAUGAAAAAAGCGCAUAUCACCGUUGCCCGCCAUCUCAAGGACCUUGAAUCAGUACUACUUAAUUAUUGUACUGGUGUGGUGAAAGUAUGAAUAAAUAGUACUAAAGUUACAAGUAGUACUCAUCAUUAAUAUUGUAAUGGAGCUGGAUCAAUCGAGCUAGCUUCCUUUGCAGUAUGGAAACAUAUAUGUAAAAUAUGCUGCAUCUUCUUGAUAUGCUGUCGUGUGCCAAUAAAAAGAUCGAGCUGACCGACAUAGUUUCGGUCAGCUUGUUGUUAUCCUAAUACAUCAAGUAUUUAAUAUUUUUUUUUU